UGGGGAAUAUUGGACAAUGGGGGCAACCCUGAUCCAGCCAUGCCGCGUGAGUGAUGAAGGCCUUCGGGUUGUAAAGCUCUUUUGGCGGGGACGAUGAUGACGGUACCCGCAGAAUAAGCCCCGGCUAACUUCGUGCCAGCAGCCGCGGUAAGACGAAGGGGGCUAGCGUUGUUCGGAAUUACUGGGCGUAAAGCGCGUGUAGGCGGUUGUUCAAGUCAGGUGUGAAAGCCUUGAGCUCAACUCAAGAAAUGCACUUGAUACUGGAUGACUAGAGGACCGGAGAGGAUAGUGGAAUUCCCAGUGUAGUGGUGAAAUACGUAGAGAUUGGGAAGAACACCAGUGGCGAAGGCGGCUAUCUGGACGGUUUCUGACGCUAAGACGCGAAAGCGUGGGGAGCAAACA
rnacentral:rRNA from 1 species